rnacentral:rRNA from 1 species
UACGUAGGGUGCGAGCGUUAAUCGGAAUUACUGGGCGUAAAGCGCGCGUAGGCGGCUUUGCAAGUCGGGUGUGAAAGCCCCGGGCUCAACCCUGGGAAUUGCAUUCGAGACUGCAUGGCUAGGAUGCGGAAGAGGGAAGCGGAAUUUCCGGUGUAGCCGGUGAAAUGCGUAGAUAUCGGAAGGAACACCAGUGGCGAAAGCGGCUCCUCGGUCCA